UCUCAGAUGUUUCUCCGUAUUCGAGGAGCUAAUGGUAAUAUUUUGUUACCCUUGGAUCGAAGCCCUUCCAUUCAUGGCUGGAAACAUUGCUUAUUACCUUCUAGACAAACACCAACGUAUCCGCCAUUCAGGAAUCUUUCUCUUGUUCAUCCGAUUUACUCUCAUCUGAACUAGGAGAGUUUGCCAUUAAAUCCGCGCCAAUAACUGUGUUGACACCAUUUUGGUGAAGCUCUUUUUUUUUUUUUAAAUGGACGUGGGGGAGAUGGAAUGGAUCAUGUUGAAUUCUACAUUCUAAUACUGCCAUUGUUUCAGUUAGAUUUAGAGGAAGAGUUUCCUUUAACCUGGAUGAUAGCAUUUUACAAUGAUCUUAUUUAUGCUGGCCAUUAUUUUGUUUUUUUAUAACUAUGCUGUCCAUUAAACUUAUUGGUUAUUUCUUUCUUUAUUGUGCAGGAAUAAAAGGCCUCCCUUGACUGGAUGGAUCCUGGCACAGAUUAGUGGUUGUGCAAUGUUAGGUGUUGUGCUCAACCAAUGUUGCUUCAUCACCGGCGUCAAGUAUACAAGCCCGACAACAGCUAACGCCAUUGCGAAUCUUCUUCCCCUGUUUUCACAUGGAUUAUAGGGCGCCUAGUCGGGCAAGAGCAAAUCAAUCUGGGAACCAUUCAUGGUUUUCUCAAAUGUGUUGGAACCCUGCUAUCUAUUGGAGGUGCAGUGAUCAUCGCGACAGUUAGAGGCCCCAUGGUACUAACAAACAUUGGCAUAUUCUGGGACUGGAAGGAGCACUCUAGCAAUGUCAAGGAGAGUGCAAUUGGCCCUAUUCUUGUUCUUGUUGCUUGUUUGUCAGCUUCAGCAUGGCUGAAUCUGCAGGCUUACUUAAGGACAACGUUUGAUUAUCCAUUAACCACUUCUUUUCUGAUGAAUAUUAUCUCUACGAUUCCAUGUGCCACUAUAGCGGUGAUCUUUGAACAUGCGUCUGGAGUAUGGGGUGAAAUGGGAUGGGAUAUAUGGUUUACUUAGCCGUAUUCUACAGUGGUGCCAUAGGUACAGCUUUAGGCGUAUACUUAUUGACCCGCUGCAUUUCUAUGAGGCGGUCCCCCUUCGUGGCAUCAUUUUCACCAUCCAGCCUCGUUUUAGUCUCGCUAUUAUCAGUGAUUUUUGCUAACGAGCGUUUCUAUGUUGGAGGACUCGUUGGAUCUCUGGUUCUGAUUGGUGGACUGAUACUGGCAUUGUGGGCCAUGCACAGAGAGGUUGUUGUCCAUAAUACGAGAGGUUCCCAUGAACCUAAUGGUACUACUAGGGCUCGUCUUGAGGGUCCAGAUGAUACUACUAUGGCUCCUCCUGAGAGUCUGGAUGUUGCUAUUAUGCCUCGUUCCGAGGGUCCAGAUGUUGAGGCUGGUUUUUCAGCUGAUUCUCCGGAGAUUCGGGAGAUACAUUGAGGCGAAGGACAAGUUGCAAUUAUGGAAACGAAAGAGUAUUGUGUCCAAGUGGGAUCAGUAGAAUAGGGUGAAGCCUUGGCAGCAGUCAUUUCUUUGCAAUGUGCGAAAGAGAAGGGUUGUUUAAGGAAGGGUUUGAUCAACAUGCCAAAGCAUAGAAGUUUAAGACUUGGCUUUUCUAUUUCGUAAACAAUUAUCUUUAUGUUUUAAGUUUCUUAGGAAUGUUAAGUAGUUCCUUUUAUUCCUAAGUACACAUAGGAAGGAUUAUAAUUAUUUUGUUUCUUCUUAUGGCUUGCUGCACUUGAUAGAAUUGUAACACUUGGCAAGUUUGUUGAGUGGGGUUUUCAUCACGUCAUCGAGUGUCUUCUUUGUGGUAAUGCUGAAGAUACUGGCAAGCAUAUGUUUUUUGAUUGUCCUGUUUCUUGAAGAAUUUGUAAUAGCCUCCUACCCUCUUCCGGUAUAAAUGGUACACGGGCACCCACUGUUUUGGUGGGGACUCUAAAACAUAGGAAAUUGAUAAAGGAAAAUUUCUUGUUUGGUCCUAAGCCCAUAAGGUUAUUUAUAGUAGGGUCCAAUCGGAUUUUAUCCUUAUCCUAGGGUCCAAAAUUCUU